AAACCUUCAGCCAACAGGCAAGUACAAAUGACUCGACCCUUGCAGGAUUCCCACUGGUAGAUGUCUGUCUUCACUGCUACAUAAGUCAACAGUAACAACACUAAGAAUUUUGCCAGACUUCAAGUGACACUACUUCAGUCUUCAAACAGAACUGGGUUCGGGAUUGCUUCGGCCACCAGUCCAACAGUCCUAAGGAUCAUAUACAGACAGGCUUAUAAAGGAUGCUGAAACUUCCCGAAGCAGCAGCACAUCAGGAACAAAACAUGUCAGCAAGCCUUGCUUUGGCACCUACCUGAAAGCUUGCAGUUCUGCUCAGGCUUCGCAUGGAAGUCUUCGGCCUGAUGAGGGUGCUGUUCAUCACAGGGAGACUUCAACGCUGUCUCCAUCACAAAACGAACCCAAAGUGAAAAAAAUCCAAGUCUUUGAGGACCACUUCUGGACACCUGUGGAGGUAAGCAUAUUUGAUACGACACUUGCUGGCACUGCACUUAGUUCCUCAUUGUGAGAUGAGAUUUAAGGAGCCUGAGGAUUUCCUCAUCUCAGGAAAUAAAACUUAACCAUAAACCCACUCUGUAACAGCUAAAAAAGGGGGAAGGGAAAGAAGAUUAAUGCAUAAACUUAGACACAAGUGAUUCCUUUCAUCUCUUGUGUCUUUCCUCAUUCAUGUUAAAGCAUUAUUUUUUCCCCUGAAGUUUGCUUUGAAAGGCAAGGAACUGAUGCACACAUAAAUAGCCAUGCUGCAGACUGCAACAGCCAUACAAAGGCAGAAAGCUUGAAAGAAACUCUCAUGGAAAAAUAGUAUCUUCUCAAUAUGAGGGAUUUCUCUCUUCUAGAUCAAGGCAUAGUUAUUAGUUGCCCUCCCCCAAUAACAAGAAAUAGCACAUGCUUCUUUUGAAAUGCUUCCUCCUACAUCUUGAAAACACUGUAAAUACAGCAGUCAAUUAGUCAAAGUGUACUAACAUUGUACAAUUAAAAAAACCCUGAGAAACACACUUCAUGAGGAAAAGAAAGGCAGAGCCCCACAGCAGGAUAGGUGAUGAUAAGUGAGUCAGGGAGUGCCACCUCUUACCACCCCAACGCUGGUUCCAAAGACCUUCCCUGCUUGUAAUUUUGCCAAGUGUUCAAAUUUCUGGCUGAACUUUUGCACACAGGAGAAAUACAUUCUGAAAAACUUCAAAUGAAAGGAUUCAUCUAGUUUAGCUGUGGAGGUAGAAAUACGUAUUUCCUCCUUAAAGAGUUCGAGCUACCUUUAGUCUGUCAUCCUUGUGUAACAGCACAGGGACGGGCAAUAGCCUCUUGUUUUAAGGGAGCUUUGCUGUAGAGUGGGACUAGGAAACUAAUGCGAUGAAAUCAGAGAUGCUUCUAGUUUCUAACAGGUUAGACACUCCCUCUGCUAGUGCGGAGUAGGCAGAUAAGCCUGCUCCAAACUUGAAACAACACAGCCUCAUCAGCAGUAUAAGGAAUAGCUUAUUUAGUACAGUCAACCUCUGCCAUUGCUUACCACGGCUUACUUGCUCCAAUGCAGCCCCAUGCUAGCCUAAGCUCUACCGCUCAAGGCUGGCCACAAACACCUUGUUCAGAAAAAGGAAACAACUGUUUCUUUUCUGCCUGCAAACCACCACGGCUACAUUUCACCGCGUCUUGGCCUUGAGAAGGGUGAAAGGGACUCAGUAUCUCAAGAUGUCAUUUCCAUUGAUUUCUGUUCAAAAUUACUACCUGCAGAACCAAAACUCCCAAACAUCUAUCUAAAAAUGGUUUACUAACUUAGAAUCGGAUUUAACAGCCCUGGAACAUCAAAGAAAGGUUGACUCAGAUGUUUAGCUCUUACCUUAAAAAACCACUCAAGCCACCACUCUAGUUAAAAAAUUAAGAAGGAGAAAAAGAUGAUCGUUUCGGCUCAACUAAAUUUCUUGUAAUAAGAUCACAUCUCCAACUUGAAAAAAAAAUUAAUCUCUGGAUUACCAAAAU